AUUGAACGCUGGCGGCAGGCCUAACACAUGCAAGUCGAACGAGUCGCGGACGGGCGAGCAAUGCUUGGGAAUCUAGCUGAUGGAGGGCGACAACUAAGGGAAACUGUAGCUAAUACCGCGUACCAAAGGAUGAGCCCAAGUGGGAUUAGGGAGUUGGGGAGGGAAAGGCGCACAAAGCCGUCGAGCUAUAGCUGGUCUGAGAGGAUGACCGGCCACACUUGGACUGAGCCACGGCCCAGACUCCUACGGGAGGCAGCAGUGGGGAAUAUUGCGCAAUGGGGGCAACCUGACGCAGCCAUGCCGCGUGAAUGAAGAAGGCCUUCGGGUUGUAAAGUUCUGUCGGUAGCGAGGCGUUAUCGACAGAAGAAGCACCGGCGAACUCCGUGCCAGCAGCCGCGGUAAUUC
rnacentral:rRNA from 1 species